rnacentral:hammerhead_ribozyme from 1 species
GCACUGCUGACGAGUCCCAAACAGACCUAAACAGCUGUCCAGUGC